UACGAAGGGGGCGAGCGUUGUUCGGAAUUACUGGGCGUAAGGCGUGCGCAGGCGGUGAUGUAAGACAGUUGUGAAAUCCCCGGGCUCAACCUGGGAACUGCAUCUGUGACUGCAUCGCUGGAGUGCGGCAGAGGGGGAUGGAAUUCCGCGUGUAGCAGUGAAAUGCGUAGAUAUGCGGAGGAACACCGAUGGCGAAGGCAAUCCCGUGGGCCUGCACUGACGCUCAUGCACGAAAGCGUGG
rnacentral:rRNA from 1 species